CUCCCUGCGCAGCCCGCCGUGCCUCCCCCGCGCUCCCCGGGCUCCUCGGCCCCCCGGGGUCCGGGGACACGCCUCGCCAAAGCGGUGCUGCAUCGGCGGCGUGGCCGUGCUGGAGCUGCCAGACAGCUUCUCCCGUGAGGAUAUGAUCAGAGCAUCAGCGCCCGGGCACCGCUGCUCACAGACCCCGCCGAAGGUGUCUGCCCGCGCCUGCUGCGCCCAGCUGGAGAGGGCGCAGCACGGGCCUGGAGGUCCUGAGGGAAAAGGGCGAUCUCUGUCCAGGAAUGCCGUGUUGCAGCUCCCAGGCCCCGCCUGACACAACUAGAACUAUUAUGCAAUUAAAGUGUCUACAGCUGGGGUAAAUAAAAUUGAUUCUAAUUAGAGUUUAGCGUUAAGUAUACAUUUACUUCUGGUUAUAUUUAUUCAGGAUUUUCCCCCAACUGGCCAUACAGUAAUGUGUUUUGAUUUUGAAAGUAAACAAAAGAUGCCUAACUCAACUCAUUAAAACUCCCUUUGUGGGAUCUCAAGAACAAGCCUGUCUGUGGCACCAUACAGCAUUUUGUGCUCAACCCCUACGUCACAUUCCUUCUUGCGUAGGAAGAACUGGCGGUGUUUGCAACACAGCUCAGGUCUGUCUUGCUCAAGAGAUCACCUGUGUCAUCAGAUUGUAUUUCUGCACCUCUGUUUUUCAAAGUAAUUCAGGCUGGUGCUCCUCAGUUCACAAAGAGAGAAGAACAAUGAUAGGUCUGAUAAUGAAGUGGAUCACAGCACACCAGAUUGCAGUUUAUUCAAAGACAGAACAGGCCAGCCCUGAAGACUCCCUCACUGUCAACAACUUGCCAUAUAAUCCAGAAAGGAAUUGUGCAUCAGCAAGUGCACAAGUCACUGUAGAUCACCUUCAGACUACCCUACACACAGCAAAAGACUCAGCUGUCCAACACACAAAUGGUUGAUCUCUGUGUGUCCGUUUCCAGUAUGCACGUCUGCCUUUAAUAAAGAUUUCUCCCUUGAAGGAUGACA
ensembl:lncRNA